UAUAUAUAUAUAUAUAUAUAUAUAUAUAUAUAUAUAUCUUGAAAAUAAUUCUAAAAGUAUGUCAUUUGAAAUCUAUCCGUCUAUUCGUUUACUUCAAUUCACGAUUGAAACGAUUUUGCACACGUGAUCGAUUGAAGUGGUUUGAAAUCGAUAAUAAAUCCAAUAUAUAUCGAUAAAUCGAUAAAUUGAAAAUAAAUAAGAUCAGAAUCUAAAUAUCGUAAAUUAUAUUAUAAAAGAAUUUUUUUUUUUUUUUAUUGUCGAUGUGUGGAAAAAUCAAGGCAAAUAAUAUAAUAUUUAGCAGUGUAUAUUACAUAACGAAUAAAUUGUUAUAAUUUAAAAGCAGAAUAUUCAAAGGAAUAAUCGAGCUUCGAGACUGAUCUCGUUUUCAAAUGCUUCCCAUCAUCAUCGCGCCAUCAUCUGGUUGGCCCAACGUAUUAAUAAUUGCCCGAUUGUGUAAUAAUCAAAAGCAAGAGGGACGGUAUCAUCCUUAAUCGAGAAUGAUAUAACGUUCCCUCCGAAGAAUAUAUGUACAUUUCUCGAGUCCGAUCUACUUGUACGUUCCCAAUGCUUCUUUUCGUUCUUUUUACUUCCAAUUAGCUGCGAGAUAUUGAUAAAGAUCUUUGAUACAUCGAGCACAGAGAUUACGAAAUAUUUUUAUCGUAAAACGAUUGAACCUGUAUACGAGUUGUAAGAUGAAGAGACACGAUGCGUCUGGGGGAGAAAAAAAUAAAUUGAAUCGGUACGAUAUGCAAUAAACCAGACUGAAAAAUCUGAAAAGCAAUAAUAUUGUUUGUUGAAAAGUAACGGAAAACGAGUUUCGAUGGAAUUCAGAAAAAGGUGCGUGUAAAAAUAAAGAUCGUAAAGAUGGGAAAAAUAUUUCAAGAUAAAUUAAAUAUCUUGAUCUCUUGACCGAUAAACUUUGAUUCAAUAUCUAUUAUUUUCGAUAAAUAAUAUCAUAAAUUAUCGUAGAGAAUGAUUUAAAGGUUAAUUUAAAUUUAAUUUGAUUAAAUACGUAUUGAAAUCUUCGUUAAAGAAUAAAAUAAAAGAAAAGAAUAAAGAAGAAAUUCGUUCGAUAAUCUUCGUUCGUUUUCGUCGACUAUUCGGCAAAAUUCGCCUAGUUUCGGUAACUAUUUCGGUAGUUUUCGGCGCUGCAGCGUUGAGCGAAGCGCGUCACUCAUUAUCAUGUCGAUUCAUCAGGUCCAAUGGCUGGCCGAUAAGAUAAGCUCCCGGAUCGUGUAAGUACACGCGUGCACAAUAAGCAAUCUUGUUUUAUCUAUCAACUACCGUGAACUUCCAUAUCGUGUGUAAAGUUCUCUCGUCUUCUUAUCAUCGUUCUAACGCCUCUGGAUACACAGAUCUGGUAAUUUUUAGGGGAAUUUUAAUGGAACGUUAUAAAUCCUUCAAAUUUUAUUUCUCACGCGAACCCACGAUUUUGAUAUUGAUUUUAACGAUAAUUUCAUUAUUGUACCACGUAAAUUAUUAAUAUUUAGUAACAUUAAUUUCUAAAUAUAAUUUCGUAGAUCGAUUUUUUUAGAUAUUUUCAAAGAUACGGUACAAGUCUAUCUACCAUGUUUGCCGCGUGUUUCAUUAUCGCAUUAAUGAAAGAACUAGGACACUAGAUAAUUUAUGAUUCUUAUCAACGUUAUCGUAUACCUCUAUCUGGUCGAAAAAUUGUUCAAAAUAAUUUUAUUUUGCCACGAAGAGAUCCACACUCGCCCGCGGUAAAGGUUAAUCGACCAUCUAACAAAAAUUACACAGAUCUCGAAGAUAAAUUCGAGCCGAAAAUGAAAAGGAAAGAAAGAAAUGAACGAGGAAGACGGCCCUGAAUUCCAUUCCUUCGACUUUUGUCCCUGCGCUAACGUCCCUGAGAGUUGAAGCAGUCGCAUCGCACCACGACGUAGACAUUUAGUUACACGCCACGAAUGUUAAUCCUCCUCGUCCUGCCUCCACUAACCUCUUCCACUUCGUAGAUCCGCGCCAAGAUCUCUUCGUGUCGAAUAUUCCAUCGUAUACUGGGUGACAAAUUUUCUUCGAUCACGACGACGAGGGAGAUUCGUAGACGGUGCGUAAUAGAAUUUUAUCCUGGAUACUAGAGGCUAGGGAAUUUUUCGAGAAAAAUAACUAUACGAGAUUUACUUAUCGAGCAAAUACAAUCUGUAACUAAAUUUUUUUUUGAAUUUAAAUUUGACAAAGAUUUAUUCCAAAAGGGAUAUUUAUACAUUAUUUGAUAUAAAUAAAAAUUAAAUUAUCUUCGUCAAAUUUUUUUAAUUUUUUCCCCAUUUCUUUGUGUCGAAAGAAGAGAACGACAUCGUAAUAAAUCGGCCUAGACAUCCUCGUUAAUUUCGAGGCUUAAUUCAGGUCGAGAGCGUUAUGUUUCUCAUCGAAUCCCGAGAAGCCUUCGUCCAGUUUUAAAGUCCUGAAAAUAACGAGGCAGCUGCUCACGUAUCCUGCAGAGCCUCGUCCUCUAUCACGUGUUUCCAGCCUCCCCUUAUAACCGUCUUUUCUUUUUCUUGUCUUUCUUGUUCUUCUCCUCUUUCUCUUCUUUCUUGAUCCUUCCCUUCUCUCCCCUCCCUCUUGAAUUCUUUUUCCUCUUUUUCCCCCUCCCUUUCUCUCGUUCCCUCCUUCUUUCUCUCUUUCUCUCUUUCUCUCUUUCUCUUGAUACCACUCCUCGGACGUUUCCUGUUUUCUUUAAUCUUUCUCUCGAAUCAUUGCAUCCCCUGUGCAUGCGGGCAUUUUUACGAUUCUUCGAUACAACAGGGUCGGCGAGAGAAUUCGAAGGGGAUUUUUCGAAGGUAGCAGAUGUUUUUUAAAUUAUAUUCGAUCGUGUAUAUUUUUCUACAUUUUUCUUUUUUUUUUUUUCUCUCAAUUUCGAGCAACUAACUCUUCCUCGCCCUGGGAAAGUUUCGGGUAUGUGGCAACGAGUUUUAUUAAAAUUAUUUCCCUGUAAUCUCGAUCGAGUCGCUGUCCUCCUUCUCCUCCUUCCUCCUCGCCCGUUUUCGAACAGGUUGCAGCAGCAAGAGAAGACGCUUUCGAACGGUUUUACGCAACCGAAAACGACUUUCGAAAAAUGUCGUCGGAUCGAAAUUCAUUUUCGAUGACAGAGAAGAUUAAAAUGAAAUGGAAGAGGAGGCGAUGUUCGACGGCGUCACGCUCGUAUCGAAAAAAAAAAGAAAAAGAAACGGACGAAUUUAUGAGAGGAUCGAUUCGAUGAGGCAAUCUUUUCUAUGUUACGUCUUUCUCGUAAUAUUUUUACGAUAGAAUUGGUAUGUACAAGAUCGAGAAUUCGAAGAUUUUUUUUUUAACGGUCUUCCUCCGUGACGCCAUCUUGUAAAAUGAAAUCAAUAUGCUUAUUCAAUAGAUUUAAUAUAAAAGAAAUUCUCUCUCUUUUGUAAAAUGUCGAUAUUUAAGAGAAUUUUUACGAUCAUUCUCGAAUUCCACUUGUGACGCCAUCUUAUAAAAUCAACUAUCAUAAAUUCUCUAAUUCUUUUACAGAUAUUUCAAUUCUUUUUUAACAAGGAGUCAGAAAAAUAAUAGAUGUCAAGAUUCGAGAAUUUUUGUCGAUCAUUCGUGCGCGCCAUCUUGCGUGUAAUCCACCAAACACAUCUCUUCGGAUAAUUUACGAACAUACCAUAGAAAUAUUUCGUAACGUUUGCCCUAUAUAAAAUUUAAUAAUGUUUAAAUUUUAUCAAACAUAACCGAAUUUUAAUCUUUUCCAACUUUAUAAUAAUACGAUCGUGAAAUAAUUUUCCACGGUGACGUGGUUCGUGUUCCGAGGACAUUUCGCGUGGAGAAUGAACCUUUUUCUUUUUUUUCUUUUUUUUUUUCUUCUCGUGGUUGUGGAUCGAAACUAGGCUUAACCAGUAAUCCAAUGAGUGUUGGGAAAUCCUUGUAACCGACGUAUCGUAAUCGGACUCUGAUGCGCGAAAGCUACACCUAUAUACUUAUUUGUGGCUCGUGACUGACUAAUGUCGCUGUUGGUCGCCUGGAUUUCCCACGUGUCACUCGGUUUCGAGUAAAUUUAGUCGGUAACCCGCCGUGCUCUGUUCUCUCUUUCCCUCCAGUGAUUCCUAACCUAUGAGAACGAGAUCAGGAAUGAAAUAAUUUUCUAAUCGAGUAAAAAAAAAAGUCAAGAGUGUGUUAAAUUUUUAAACAAAUUUUUUUUUUGAAGAAAAUUAUUAUAAUAAAUAGUUUUCGAUCUGUUGAUUAUUUAUAUCGAUGAAUAUCGGUUUUAAUUUUAUUAAUUUUUCUACAGCAUUUAAAAUGUGCUUUAUCAGAGGAAUGAUGAAACGUGGAAGUGGAACUCGAAUUUCGCGUAAUCAUCGUCGAAUAGGAAAAAUAAUAUCGGGGCUGAGUAAUCGGUUUGAAAUCGAAUAGGCGAUGAACCAUUCGCUGAUAAACGAGUAACGCUCGUGAAUUUUCGAGAACGUGUAUAUAUAUGUAUAUAUAGGAGGUUUGAAGAGUCGAUUGUAGAAAUUAACGUCGAGAUAAAUAUAUCGACGCAAGAGGUGAAAAUGCGUUUUAUUAAACGAGGAAUAUUGUUAAUUAACGAGACAUGGAAGGAAAUAAUUGAAAUAAUAUAAGUUAUAAUGAAUGCAUUACGACGAGUGACUUAACUAGCCGUGAAAGUAGUUGCAAAGAUAAUUCUAGCAUUAACCUGUAAUUAAUAUGCAAUCAUUGGAUUUAUUUCCAUGAAUGAAAAUUAAAAUAAUUAUUUAAAUCUCCAUUAUUUAUUUUAUUUUAUUUUAUUAUUUUUAUUAUUUUUUUUUUUCUCAUUUUAGAUCUCUUAGAUCCCGACUAGUUUGAAAUUCUCCAACUUUAAUUUUAACAAUUAAACUCGUCAAGUUGAGCGGCAUUAAAAAUGAUUUUUACAUUUACAUUUAUUUAAACGCGCGCUGCUGCUAUGACGAUGGAGGGAGCUACGUACAGAAAAGGAAGACUCUCGCGGCGAGGCCACAAGAAAAGUCAAAGAAGAGUCGGGAUGAGCGGAGAAAAAUUCGAAACUGGCCGUUAGUCCAGUCGAACGUAAUUACAGACCACGGUUCGACGCUUGUUAAUGGCUGUCGUUUCACCGCGAUGGGUUUAAUGGUGCUAGACAAAAAUUAUUUUCCGUGAAGUGGUAAUGGAGUUGGUAAAGUUAGGCGGUAGGCGAAUGCGAAAAGAUAGAAAGAGAAGAGCUCUCUUCUCAAAGCCUCUUAAGCGGUCAUCUCCUUGCAUCGGGCGAAUUGCCCGCGACCGGCCAAUUUAUAUACAUACACGUGAAGUCGUGGCAUCUAAAGGUCUGUCCACACUGAUAACGCGUAAGCAUCUAGUUUCUUUUCGAGGAACGCUAAUAGAAAGAAAAAUAAAUCAGAUAGCUUUCUAGGGAUCUAAUUUCUAAUCUAGAAAAAUAAUAUAAUAAUAAAAAUAGAAAAAUUCUGAAAUUUUUAGUUUUUUCCUAUCCAGAAAUUUAAUUUGUAAUCUAGGGAUGUAAAAAUCUAGGAACUUGCUUGAAAAGAAAUAUAGACCGAAUAGUUUUUCCUAUCUAGGGAUUUAAUUUCUAGUGAUGUAAGAAUCUAGGAAUUUGAAAGAUAGGCUAGAUUUCCUAUCUAGAAAAUGUAAGAAUUGUUCGAAAAGAAAGGUAGAGAUAGAUUUUCCUAUCUAGAUUUAAUUUUUAAUUUAAGGAUAUAAGAGAAUCUAAUAGGAAGAUCCUAAUAGAAAAUUUUUAAAUUUACUUUCAAUUUAAAGAAGUCUAGAGAAUUUUGUGCAAUAACAAUUUGACAAUUUAACGAAUUCAAGAAAAAUAAAAGGAUUACUUGGAUGAAUAAUUCGUUCCACUUUGCUAAACCUGUUAUCCGUAUCAAGUCGUUUGUCUUGUAGAAAGCCAUCGCGUCUCGAAUAUCGUUUCCUGUCGGACAAUCGAUCAAGAUGGGGCACUUAGUUGGAUGGAUUAUCUUAGAAUUCCAUUCGAAAUUCCUCGAAUUAUUCCCUCGUUUCACAAAUGCUAAUAAAGUUGACACUGCGUUUAGCAAAUCGACGAUGAUACUUCAUCCGUCUACGUUAUUCCUGUCUUUACGUUACACAGUAUUUACACAGACUUCAUUGUCAACCAACAACCUUUGAACCGUCUACUGUGCUACUUUAAAUAUCUUCCAUCCACUUCUAUUGGAAUGUAUUAGAAUAAACUGAUCUUCGAAAAAGGUUAUUUUUUAGCGAAAAAAAAAAAAAACCGAAAAAUCAAAGAGAAUUGAAAACUUGGAAACACAUAAACUUUCGUUCGAUCAUUUAUCGAUAUCGAUGGUAAUUCUACCGAUCAACCCUCCCCAUUGCCGUGUGCAGUCCCCUUUAGAGAGAGCCACGGCGGUCCCUGGGGCUGGAAUAUUGGCUGUUGUACGUUAUGUAGGUACCAGCGUGCAACCUGCGGUGCAACUUGUCAGCCAACAUCAUUAUCGAUGCCGGCUCGCCUCGAUCGAGAUCCGUGCUUUUAUCGCGACUUCGUUAUUUAUAUCUCGCUCCGCUUGCCAAUAACUAAUAGAGAUCCUUGCCUUCUUCUCCGCGCUGGCACAAGUCGAUAUCGUGCCACGAUUCCGUUUCAUCGGCCAUCUUGAAGCCCUCCCUCUCUUUAUCGCUCUGUUUCGUUAUCGACAGUCGCGAAUUUCUUUCCGACAAAUUACGGAACUUGAAUCAAUAAUUGGACUAUUGUUACAUUUCGCAAGAGCGAAAUGAAUUAGAUUCUAGAUUCUUUUUUUUUUUUUUUAUAUAGAUAAACUUCAUCGUUUUAAAACUGACAAAGUUACAUUUGUUGUAUUUCGUAAGUAUUAAUAAUUGGCCGAUUUAUAUAAAGAUAUGGAAAGUGACUGAGACCCUUCUUGCAUCCGAUUUAUAAUUUAUUUCGUGAGAGAUCAAAUUUUAUUUCACUCGUAUUAAUCACUCUAACCUCUGCGCUUCGUAAUUUAAGAACCAUAGGAUAUUACGUCACCUAACCUAAAACAACCUGAAAGACAAAGUAACCCAGAAAAUUUCAAAGAAGUUGGGCCAAGAUCCAAAAAUAUCCACUCAAAUUCUCGCUCAAAUCCAAGCUAAUCAAUCAUUCAAACCGAGGGUGAUCAAGGAGAAGUACGACCAUUCCCAACAGUCCAGGUCGAUUUGGAAAGAGAGAGCGAGCGAGAGAGAGAGAGAGAGAGAGAGAGGGAGACUUGGAGGUUGAAAAGCGCAAGCCAUACCUAUCACCGGAGGGUAGAGACCCCCGGAGUGAGGACGCAUGUGUUUCACACGUGUUCCACUAUCCCUCCUCCCUCUCCACCCUCAGUCCCGACCGACAAAAAACGCGAAAAACGUGCCACUCUCCUGGUGCAUCGUGUCGACUCGCAUGGUGGACGCAUCGCCAUAUGCAACCAUACGCUCCGGACAAUGUUCUGUAAUUGCACGUUUCGAAACGUGAGGGGAGGGGUGGGGGGAUUUUUCGUGUGCCGGCGAACCCGGUUCCCGCAAAAACGAUGUUCCGUCUGGUGGAAGCCGUUCCUUUUUGCUCGAGCCCGGCCCCAGAACCACUUCCUCUUCCUUUUCGGGAGCAAGACACGCCUCUCUCGAGGGAAAGAAAGAGAGAGAAAGAAAGGGCCUCCUUAAGGGCCGCCAGAACGAAAAGUUUCCUUUUUUCCUUCUAGAUAGUUCUUCCUCGCGAUCGUGUACAAGUUAACCUCUGAGAUAGUCGGUACGGGCAUGAUCUUGAUGGGAUAUGGACUCCUGGGAGCUUCUCGGGAGCUGAAAGCUGUUAAUGCAUUUCAUUAAUGAAAGAAUAUCGAUAUGUAUAGGUUAUAUUUUGGAUAAAGAAUGGAAAUUGAAGUGUAAACGUAGGAAAUAUGUGGAGGCAUAGAGAUAUAGGGAAUAUUACUAGGAUAUAUUACUAGGGAUAAAAAUGAUAUAUGUCCCUAUGAACUUAGGGAUAUAUAUAAAAUAAUAAAGAUAUAGAUGGAUAUAAUGAUAUAAGAUGAUACAAAAUAUAGACAUAUAUAAAAUAAAAAAAGGAUCUUCGAAUUAUUAUCGGAAAUACAUAUCGAUUAAUUAAUUUCCGCAAGAGGCUCGAAACAUGAAAACGUUUAUCUUUAUUUCCGCGAGCAGGCUCGCGUGAAAGCAACACCGGCGCACACGCGAGAAAGGAUGAUUCAUCGGAGUUAGCCUGUUGCAGACGGAUCGACCUCUUUUCCUCGAUGCACCGGUGUAGUAGCCGGUGUACAGGCGCAUGUAUCCAACUCGUGUGUAUAGGUAUAUCAUGGCCCCUCUGAAUGGUGUUAGUGCGCGCAACGACCUCUUUCCUCGCUACCGCAAACCGCAGGCGCAACCCAAUUUUUGCCCCGAAAAAACAACCGGUAGAACCUGAGUGUCCCUCGUCUCGCCGCUGGACACCGUCUGCGUAAAAGAGUUUUUUUUUUCUUACGGCCACGUAAGAUCGAAUUCGAGACGUUGGGUUACCAUUUUCGAUCGAUAUAGUUGAUUAUUAAUUCGAUUUGAUGUUGGAACAGGAAGAGAGAUAAGAUUGUUUUAAGGUUAGGUUUUGAAAUUUGAAUAUUUCUCUUUUUUUUUUUUUCUAUAUUUUACAGAAUCUUAGAAGAGAUCUCUUUGAAAAUUCAUUUUUUAGAAGUUAGCGCGCGAGUACAAUGAACCUGGUUGAUUCGUUCAGCUGAUUUUUUCCACCAACGUAAAACGCUUCCCCGUGAACGAGACUUUACACGGCAUUGACCGCGCGUGGUAACACCCAAAUAGCGAUGGUCUCGAGUUGCUCACGAUCAAAACAAUUUUAUUCGGUUAUCUUUCGAAUUUUCAGUUUAUCGUAUUUAUCGUGAUAUUUCUCCUUUCGUUUGAAUAUCUAUAAACUCGUAUUUUUGAAUUUUGAUUUUUAUUAUAUUCGAAAGAAUAAUAUAUUCAAAGAUUGAAAAGGUGAGCAUCCAACGCUACUCUCGAAGCUCGCGUGCACACCCGUUUCUUCUUUUUCUCUUCUUUCUUCCUUCGCUGUUCCAACGAUCCGUCUUAAUAUUCGAUCCAACGUUUCGUAUCUCGGAGGUCGGCGGUUUUCGCUUCCACGACCACAACCGCGUUGCACUUGUACUUAUAUAGGGACACGCUACUUUCCUCUUCGCGGUUGACGUGCUCGCAAAAUUUAUAUGGGCUUGCCUGUUAAUUAACGUCAAUGAAACGACCGAGUCGCGGCAUUUCGAUAAAAAAGUGCUGAUCGAUAAAGAACGGCCACGGACCAUGUGAAAUACAAGACUUAUUGAUGAUUUCUAGUGUUUUUCUGCUUGUUCCGAAGAAUAUAUAUUUUUUUCCAUUUUUUUUUCUUUCGAUAAAAGAAAUUGUGAAUUAUAGUAAAUAUUAUUUGGAAAAUUAGUAAUUUUUCUCUAGUGAUUUUUUUGAUCUUCAAAAACAAUUUAAUUACAUCUAGUGAAAUAUAUUUUCGCUUUUAAUAAACGUUUGUAAGCGUUUGUAUUGACCUCAUAAAUGCGUCAAUGUUCACCUGAUUUCCGUUCUCGUGCUAUUAAUAUUCGUGAGGUGAGUAUGGCGUGUUUCAUUUGACGAUAUACCGUCUUAAGUAUUAUACGAAAUUAACUUUAUUAAAUAUUAAUAUUCAUAACACGAUUCUAAUAUCCUUCCUUUAAGAAAAUGUGCGUUACAAUGAUUAAGUUUUUUCCAAGUCGAUUACCAAUCGAUUACUCAAUUUAAUUCGUGAUAAUAUUCGCUAUAUAUAUAUAUAUAUUAUUCUAUUAAUAAAAAAUAUAUAACGCAUUGAAAAAAAAAUAUUUUAAUAUCUUAAAUUAAUAUUUCUAUAAAUUUGAUUUUAUUUAACGAUUGGAAACAAAAAAGAAGCAAUUUCAAAUUCUUCCGUUUCUUAUCACAUUCCACGAGUGAGCGACCUAUCCACCAGACAGAGGAGGCGCGAGAGAUUGAAAGAGCGAUUGCGAUUCGAAGCGUCUGCGUGACACGGUGUCUCAUUAUUUGCGACUGAAGGAGGAGGAAUCAGUUGUCGGGACACGUAUUAGUCGCCGUACGUGGCGACAUCCGCUAAUCAAAUACAAGUGUUCGUCAGCAGUCCCGUAUUAUAGAGACGUAGACGUAGCGAAGUCUGUUUCCGAGCUCUGAUAGCUGCGAUAAAUACGCGUUUAAGCGCUCUAUAAUUGUUGUCGCGUGCGUUGCAUUUUUAAACCUUGCCGCCAUUCGUCGCCCUAUCCGAGGAACCGACGAAACACGACUUUUCACGAAGAUAGUCGAAUCUUUUUCUUUCGUAUGUCGAUACAAAUAUCGAUACAAGGAUCGAAGAAGAAAGCUGUAAAAAAUUUCUUUUGCAACAAGUGAUUGUUUUUCUUCGAAAUUUUAAUCUUUUUUUCAAAAUAUUCGAUAGCAAGUGACGAAUUAUUUACACAUUGGAUAAAUUCACUCGUUCGCACUCGUUUUUUCGGUUAAUCGAUACAUUCGAAUUCACUUGAAUAAAGGCGCGUAUAGUUUCAUAGGAAAAGGAUAUGAUUGGUCGACACAGAGAAUAUACGGCAACCGAGCUGACCGAUCAUGGGCCAUGGAUAGUCGUUGGGUCGGUUGAGCAGACCGUUGUAACAGUACCUCACGUGCCAUAGAGAUCCCAUAACCGGCUGCGCGUAAAAAAAUAUGCUUCGGUGCAAUCGGUCAGUUGGGAUGCAACCGAAGCGAAGAGCAUAGCCGAGCAACUGUGAAAAUAAGUGUAUAAUUUCUCUCUCACAUUCUUCUCGAUUCAAAGUUUCUUUUAAAGAAUUAUAAUGAAUUAUAAUUUUAAAGUAAAUUAAUUUUUUCGAUGUUUCUUCAAAUGAAGGUACGAAAUGAAAUUUAAUUAAUAAAAAUUUAUUAACAAUUAUUCAUUAAAAUUUUGAUGACAAAAUGAAUUUUCUAAAUGUCUUUUCUAAUAAAAAUUCCUUAAAAAAAAAAAAACUAAACUAAUACUAUUUCUACUACUUGAAAACUGCAUCUCGAUAAAAACUUCUUAGACUUCAAAAGAGAAUUAUCUUCUAAAAUUAUUUCUGCUUUUCUUCCAAAAGAUCCAACCGUAUUAUUGAUUUGAAAAUUGCAACUUUGACAGAUCUUGGAAAAUUCUGAGUCGGGUUCCGAAAGAAAAGCAAAGGAUUUGGGAAAAGUAUCGGUCCUAAAGUCAAGAAGAAAAAGAAGGAAGAGGAGGAAAGAAAUGGAGGGAGGGCCCAUAGCAGCUGGUCAAACAACUCUGAAGCCACUCGGGGCCCGGAUCUUCCAGAGAUCCUCGGUUGCACGUACGAGGUUACACGCGAGGGGCCCCUCCUCGUCCUCGCGCACGACCUCGAAGUUUUAAUUACUCGCCAGGGUAUCAUCCCCCUGCCAGGCCUCGUACGAGGUCAUCGUACGAGGAUCGCCUCUAAGAAACCGGGGGACGAGGAUGGGGAGACAUGUCCCGAUUCCUCCGCCUCGAGGAAGGAACACGAUGAUAGCUUGUUCAAAUUGCCAGUCUUUUCUUUUUUUUUUUCUUUUUUUUUUUUUUUUUAGUCCUUGUUGCCUGAUUAUUGAAACCUUGAUCCUCUUCCUCCGGGAGAAGUUUUUUUUUUUUUUUUUUAACAAGAAUUAAUUUUUGAUUCGAUUCGUAGAAUUUUUUUGAAUAGUCAAAAUUAUUAUAUGUUACAAAAAUUCGUAUAUUUUGGAAAAAAGUGUUUGGAAUUUUUCCUUUUUUUACCAAAAGAAUUUCAGAUUUCGAGUUUUCUCCUUCAAAGAAAAAUAGAAAGAGAUUUAAUCGUCGAUCCAAAAAUUCAUCAGUUCCUGAAAUUCUCUCUUCUUUAUAUAUAUAUGAUAAAAAAAGGAAAGAGAGAAGGAAAAAAAAGGUGAAGAAACGUGCAAACGAGCACCGCUUGCUGUUUGCAAAUGAAACACGCCCACGAUCUUCUCGGGGCAUGCGUGCUUAGCCGCGUAAACGUGUGACUCGCGGUUGAUCUAAACGAUCGUGAAUCACCGACCCACCUUGGGGGUUGCAGGGAACACGGAGAACGUCCAGGUAUCGUAAUUUCUCCCUUCGUUUCAUAUAUUACGUGAAACGAUGCUCGAGUCGUAGAUCCGUAUAUUUUCUUUUUUUCUCGUCUCACGUAAUUUCCAAGUUGAAUAGAAAAUUCUAUUUAUUGUAUCUUUUUCUACAUCCAUCCUUUGAUACAACAGGAAUAAUAUAAAAUCGUUCAAUUAAUUAACCAAAUAAUUGUUAAUAAAGAUAAUUAUUAUUUUAUUAUACAUAAAAAUUCCCUAUAUUUACAUAUAGUUCCCUAUACUUAUAAAAUUCCCUAUACUUAUAUAGUUCCCUAUACUUAUAUAGUUCCCUAUACUUAUAUAUUCCCUUUGUCCAAUAUACGAAAGCAAUAUAAACCGUCAAAAGAAAAAAUCACUAUGAAUUGUGAACUUUCAAAUACUUCGUGACGAUUAACUACUGAACCAAAACUUUAUAGGGAACCACUGUUGGCCGGAAGAAGAGAGGACUCGUGAAACGAAGAUGUGAAAGAUUAAUGUGAGAUUAAUACCAACGAAAAUUUGUAUCACUGUGAAUUGCAGUCUCAAUGAUGAAUAGUUAAGCAAGUUUAAGAAAGAGGAAAACUUUUAUUCAACUAUUACAACAUUGGAUACAAAAAUUUAUGCACGAGGAUGAAAUUGUGGCCAGAAGGAGAGAGAAUAACAGGGUAGAGUAUCGAGUGCAACCAAGUUUGAUGAUGGCGGUGUUGGUAGGCGGAUGACGAGGUGGUAGUGGUGAUGGUGGUGGGCCGUCACGCCACAUAGUGUGAUAGCUGCGCAUUAAACAGCCAACCCUGCACCCUUGGCCCAACCUACAAGCUCGAGUCCCGGAACCUGUGAGAUUCGAGAUCGAGAUUGAACUCCACCAGGGAUUCAGAGGACCUCUGGUUGCGCAGAAAAGCUUGACUGAUUCGUUUCAUCUUUCUCCUUCUUUUUUUUUAUUUCUCUAACUGUGAUACGUUACAAUGAAUAAUUGAUCUCUGUUAUUACUUCAAAGAUAGAGAAAUUUAAAAAUUUAAAAGAAUAAAUAUCAUCUUUUAAUAUUUUAAA